UCCCUGGUGGUCCAAUGACUAAGACUCUGAGCUCCCAGUGCAGGGGCCCAGGUUUGAUUCCUGGUCAGGGAA
rnacentral:tRNA from 1 species